GGACUACCGGGGUUUCUAAUCCUGUUUGAUCCCCACGCUUUCGUGCCUCAGCGUCAAUAUAAGUUUAGCGAGCUGCCUUCGCAAUCGGUGUUCUAUGUCAUAUCUAAGCAUUUCACCGCUACAUGACAUAUUCCGCCCACCUCAACUUAAUUCAAGGUAAAUAGUAUCAACGGCAAUUUCCGAGUUAAGCUCGAAGCUUUCACCGCUGACUUAAAAACCCGCCUACGCACCCUUUAAACCCAGUAAAUCCGGAUAACGCUUGCACCCUCCGUAUUACCGCGGCUGCUGGCAC
rnacentral:rRNA from 1 species